UGUUGAGGCAUACUCAACAGCCCACGGAGAGACCUGGGUGGUGAGGACCGGAGGCCUCCAGCCAACUGCCAUGUGUGUGAAUCAUCUUGGAAGAGGAUUGUCCAGCCCUGCUCAAGUCUUUGGCAGAUGCAGUGUUGGAAAACAUCUUACCUGUAACCUCAUGAGAGACCUUGAGCCAGAACCACUCAGCUAAGCCUUUUCAAUAUAUUCCUGACCCACAGAAACUAUGUGAUUACAAAUGUUUACGGUUUUAAGCCACAAAGUUAUGGGAUAGUUUGUUACACAGCAGCAGAUAACUAAUACAAGGGGGAAACAGGGAGCCAAGUGUAGCUAUAGUGCAAAUAAGUUACUGUCCUUUUAGGGAAAGAGUUUUCACCAGACACAAGGACUCAAUAGCAGAACUCUGGACUCUCCCAUUUCACAGUUUAGAAAACUGAGUUGCAAAGAAAAGGAUGCCAUGCAUUGAGCUCUGUGGUCACCUGGCUGUUAAUCCUCAAGAGAGCUGUGGGAUUGUGACUGGCCUUGGCUACUUUGCAUCCAGGGCCACAUGCAAGCAGGAGCAGGGCCUGGACCAGCACUCAGCCUCUGGCUCCUACUCCACUGCCUCUCAAGUACCCAGGCUUUCACCAGAAGAGCAGGGGCCCUCCUCUGCACCCCUACAUCUUUGGACUCGGAGGCUUGGAGGUGGUGAGACAUGGGUCCCCCCAUGUCACAGCCAUCGUCCAUUCCUGUCUGUCUGCCCUGCUGACUUCAGCUCCAGCUCCAGACACAAAGACAACAGCCUAACGGAGCCCAUUUAACCCACUCCCACAGUUCUGUUGCCUGGCUCCUGCUCCAGCCCCACCUGCCCCGGCUGGUGGCUUCAGGGAUCUGACUCAACUUCUCUGGCCGCUGCAAAGGGAGGCCAGUCCUAACAGUGCCUACCCCCAGAGGGCUGUGUGGAGGAUUAAAGAAGCCGUUACAAGUUAAACCUGCAAAUGCCGAGAAUGUGAGCCAGAACUUCACCCUGAGCCUUCCUGAAUCUGACCCCCAGAAACCACAGAGCAUCACGAAAGGGAAGAAAGGAAGGUGUGUGUGCGAAGCGCCCAAUCACAAGAGCCCUAGGACACCUGCUUCUAACUCCAUGAACUUCUCGGGGAGGGGGCCCGGCCCAGAGCAGGAACCAGCCACUGCAUUUUGAAGGAUGGAAGGAAGAAACACAGGCAGAUGGAUCGGUGGACAGGGAGACAUAUCAAACUGAGGGUUCAGAAAACCUCACUCCAGGGGUUUCUUUCACCUUGAGAAGCUCUACAACCUGAGGAUCAGGAGCUGCCACUUCCACCCACUUACCUCGCCCUGCACCAGCUCAGGAAGGACUUCAUUCAAGAUGCCGCCAAAAUUUCUGCAGUGAUGUUUAGCUUCACAGCCAGUUUUAACAGACUUCCGGUCACGGGCCUACAGAGGAAACAGUUUGCUGCAUCUGUAUCCAGUUGAAAGCUCAUGUCUGUUAGACUCCAGUGCCCCCUUUAUGGCUACACAUGGUCAUCAGGGUCU